AUGAAAAAAGAAUUUGGAGGUCUAGGCAUUCCCAACCUCCAAGAGGUGAACACCUGCCUCCUAGGAUCCUGGGUUAAGAGAUUCUAUGAAGAAGGAGAAAAACCUUGGCAAGCUAUCAUAGAACAAAAAUAUCUGUUUGGAAAGCCUAACUUGUUUGCGGUCCACUCCAUCCCAAACUCUUCAAGAUUCUGGAAGGGAUUUCAAUCCAUCAUUCAAAAUCUGAAGUUUGGAUUUAGAUGGAAAGUUGGCAAUGGGGAGAGGGUCAGAUUUUGGGAAGACACCUGGUUCGGGACUUCGCCACUAGCUACCCAAUUCUAGCCUGUCUACCUGGUCUGUAAUGAGCAGACUAAAACUAUCAAAGAAGUCUGGGAUGGGGAAACCCUA
rnacentral:rRNA from 1 species